rnacentral:rRNA from 1 species
CCUACGGGAGGCAGCAGUGAGGAAUAUUGGACAAUGGACGAGAGUCUGAACCAGCCAAGUAGCGUGAAGGAUGACUGCCCUCUGGGUUGUAAACUUCUUUUAUAUGGGAAUAAAACGUUCCACGUGUGGGAUUUUGUAUGUACCAUAUGAAUAAGGAUCGGCUAACUCCGUGCCAGCAGCCGCGGUAAUACGGAGGAUCCGAGCGUUAUCCGGAUUUAUUGGGUUUAAAGGGAGCGUAGGUGGAUUGUUAAGUCAGUUGUGAAAGUUUGCGGCUCAACCGUAAAAUUGCAGUUGAAACUGGCAGUCUUGAGUACAGUAGAGGUGGGCGGAAUUCGUGGUGUAGCGGUGAAAUGCGUAGAUAUCACGAAGAACUCCGAUUGCGAAGGCAGUUCACUGGACUGCAACUGACACUGAGGCUCGAAAGUGUGGGUAUCAAACAGGAUUAGAUACCCGGGUAGUC